CUGGCUCAGGAUGAACGCUAGCUACAGGCUUAACACAUGCAAGUCAGGGGCAUCAUGGAGCUUGCUUGCAAACUCUGAUGGCGACCGGCGCACGGGUGAGUAACGCGUAUCCAACCUUCCCUAUAGUAGAGGAUAGCCCGGCGAAAGUCGGAUUAAUACUCUAUGUUUUCCGUUGCAGACAUCUAAGAUGGAACAAAGGCUUGCCGCUAUAGGAUGGGGAUGCGUCUGAUUAGGUAGUCGGCGGGGUAACGGCCCACCGAGCCAUCGAUCAGUAGGGGUUCUGAGAGGAAGGUCCCCCACAUUGGAACUGAGACACGGUCCAAACUCCUACGGGAGGCAGCAGUGAGGAAUAUUGGUCAAUGGGCGAGAGCCUGAACCAGCCAAGUAGCGUGCAAGGAUGACGGCCCUAUGGGUUGUAAACUGCUUUUAUGCGGGGAUAAAGUUCACUACGUGUAGUGUUUUGUAGGUACCGCAUGAAUAAGGACCGGCUAAUUCCGUGCCAGCAGCUGC
rnacentral:rRNA from 1 species